AUUGAACGCUGGCGGAAUGCUUUACACAUGCAAGUCGAGCGGCAGCGCGGCCUUCGGGCUGGCGGCGAGCGGCGAACGGGUGAGUAAUGCAUCGGAACAUGCCCAGUCGUGGGGGAUAACACUUCGAAAGAAGUGCUAAUACCGCAUACGUCCUGAGGGGGAAAGCGGGGGAUCGCAAGACCUCGCGCGAUUGGAGUGGCCGAUGUCAGAUUAGCUAGUUGGUGGGGUAAAGGCCUACCAAGGCGACGAUCUGUAGCUGGUCUGAGAGGAUGAUCAGCCACACUGGGACUGAGACACGGCCCAGACUCCUACGGGAGGCAGCAGUGGGGAAUUUUGGUCAAUGGGGGCAACCCUGAUCCAGCCAUUCCGCGUGAGUGAAGAAGGCCUUCGGGUUGUAAAGCUCUUUCGGCAGGAACGAAACGGUGGGCUCUAACAUAGUCCGCUAAUGACGGUACCUGAAGAAGAAGCACCGGCUAACUACGUG
rnacentral:rRNA from 1 species